CCUACGGGUGGCAGCAGUGAGGAAUAUUGGUCAAUGGCCGGGAGGCUGAACCAGCCAAGUCGCGUGAGGGAAGACGGCCCUACGGGUUGUAAACCUCUUUUGUCAGGGAGCAAGGUGCAGGUCGGGACCUGCUGUGAGAGUACCUGAAGAAAAAGCAUCGGCUAACUCCGUGCCAGCAGCCGCGGUAAUACGGAGGAUGCGAGCGUUAUCGGGAUUUAUUGGGGUUAAAGGGUGCGCAGGCGGAGGCACAAGUCAGCGGUAAAAUCGCGGGGCUCAACCCCGCUCCGCCGUUGAAACUGUGUGCCUUGAGUGCGCGAAGGGUAGGUGGAAUGCGUGGUGUAGCGGUGAAAUGCAUAGAUAUCACGCAGAACUCCGCUCGCGAAGGCAGCCUACCGGCGCGCAACUGACGCUCAUGCACGAAAGCGUGGGUAUCGAACAGGAUUAGAUACCCGGGUAGUC
rnacentral:rRNA from 1 species